UGCGCCGUUGGAGGCCGGGCGAGCGCGUGAGUUCCGCUCCUUUCGUCUUCUCGCCGUUGUUGGACGAGCAUUUCGAGGUGGGUUGAAGUUUACCGAAAUCAUCGGAAUAUCUUCUAAGUUUUAUCAUCGUCGACAUGUAUCACCUAUGUAGUUCUUGCUAGUACUCGAAUUUCUGGAUUAGUGUUUAAAUCUGAAUUUUGGAGUUAAGCUAGUAGUUUAAUUGUACAUGUUGGAUUUGGAAUUGACUUAGGAGAAAACAUUUAGAACCUACACUGUCAUUUCUGAAAACUACCAGAUUUAGUUGUAGGAGCUGCAGUCUGUUAGUAUCGUCGCAAUUUGUAUGCGGUGGAUAUCCAGAUUAGUGUAGGAUGAGUUUACGCUCGAGUUGGAAUGCCGAGCUUAUUUUUCAGUAGUGUGUAGAUUGUUUCGGACUGUCGGGUGCCGUCGCGGUUGAUGGUGGACCCAGAUUUCUGUAUUUGCAUCAGAUUGUGCCGAGGGCACGUGAGCUUUGGUUGUUGGACCAGUUAGACCCAUUUGCUUUGAUUAUAGCCUGUGAGAGACUGAGUGAGCUCGGCAGAGACACGCUUGCAUACUCGGUUGGGUAGUGCCCACGAGUGUCACUUCAGAGUUGGGCUGUGUAUGUUUGCGUUGUUGUCGUUGUGUCCUGGUUGGACUCGCUCUCUACUGACGACCCUGCGUGGUGGUUGUUGGUGUAGCUUUGACAGGCAGGACGGGUGCGUUCACAGUCCCUAGUGAGAUUGGGUCAGAGAUUGUAUAUUUGUUUAUAUCUACAUAUAGCUAGUGUGGGUUAGCGAUAGUAUAGUGGCAUAUAGCUGUAGAGUUUUUCAGCUUCCUUU
rnacentral:lncRNA from 1 species